GGCCCCUUCGUGGCGACCACAAGUCCUAUCACGCCGCAAGAAUCUCGGCUUGUUCACCUACAAAUGAAGGCCGACGAUACUUGCAGACCGAGUCUGACAUCUAUGGGACCCCACUCCUACCCUGCGCCUCCAGGGGCCGGGACAACCGUGACCCGUACCCACUCCUCGCGCCUCCGGGAUCAACCUCAGAAAUCUGUGGGCCCCCGGGGAAGACGCAUGCGCACUGCUCCCUCCUCGUCUCCUUCCCUUCGUUAAUUAGUCCGUCGCAUUUCAAGUGCUGGAUCCUUUUUGUCCCCUACUGCGUGCGGUGUCAGCUUCCUUGCGGAAGUGGUGACCGUGAGAGAAGAAGAUGGCGGCCCCUGUAGUGGCGCCGCCUGGUGUGGUGGUUAGUCGGGCAAACAAGCGCAGCGGCGCGGGGCCGGGAGGCAGCGGUGGCGGGGGAGCCAGAGGGGCGGAGGAGGAACCGCCGCCGCCCCUACAAGCCGUUCUGGUGGCCGAUAGCUUCGAUCGCCGCUUCUUCCCCAUCUCCAAGGACCAGCCUCGGGUCCUCUUGCCCCUGGCCAAUGUGGCAUUAAUUGACUACACUCUGGAAUUCCUGACUGCCACAGGUGUACAGGAAACAUUUGUCUUUUGUUGCUGGAAAGCUGCUCAAAUCAAAGAACAUUUACUGAAGUCAAAGUGGUGCCGCCCUACAUCUCUCAAUGUGGUUCGAAUAAUUACAUCAGAGCUCUAUCGAUCACUGGGAGAUGUCCUCCGUGAUGUUGAUGCCAAGGCUUUGGUGCGCUCUGACUUUCUUCUGGUGUAUGGGGAUGUCAUCUCAAACAUCAAUAUCACCAGAGCCCUUGAGGAACACAGGUCAGGAUGGGAAAAUGACAGGAACAAGGGUUAAAGACCAGCAGAGCCCUGAGACUGCUUUUUUGCAGUUCUGUCCCUCCUGUCCUUUAUAGGUUGAGACGGAAGCUAGAAAAAAAUGUUUCUGUGAUGACGAUGAUCUUCAAGGAGUCAUCCCCCAGCCACCCAACUCGUUGCCACGAAGACAAUGUGGUAGUGGCUGUGGAUAGUACCACAAACAGGGUUCUCCAUUUUCAGAAGACCCAGGGUCUCCGGCGUUUUGCAUUUCCUCUGAGCCUGUUUCAGGGCAGUAGUGAUGGAGUGGAGGUUCGAUAUGAUUUACUGGAUUGUCAUAUCAGCAUCUGUUCUCCUCAGGUGGCACAACUCUUUACAGACAACUUUGACUACCAAACUCGAGAUGACUUUGUGCGAGGUCUCUUAGUGAAUGAGGAGGUGAGAAAAGUCUUCCAAUGCCUCUUUAGGAGAGAGGAGAAGGCUAUGAUUGUAUCUCAUGCUGAUCCUAGGGAACCAGAUCCACAUGCACGUAACAGCUAAGGAAUAUGGUGCCCGUGUCUCCAACCUACACAUGUACUCAGCUGUCUGUGCUGACGUCAUCCGCCGAUGGGUCUACCCUCUCACCCCAGAGGCGAACUUCACUGACAGCACCACCCAGAGCUGCACUCAUUCCCGGCACAACAUCUACCGAGGGCCUGAGGUCAGCCUGGGCCAUGGCAGCAUCCUAGAGGAAAAUGUGCUCCUGGGCUCUGGCACUGUCAUUGGCAGCAAUUGCUUCAUCACCAACAGUGUCAUUGGCCCCGGCUGCCACAUUGGUGAUAACGUGGUGCUGGACCAGACCUACCUGUGGCAGGGUGUUCGAGUGGCGGCUGGAGCACAGAUCCAUCAGUCUCUGCUUUGUGACAAUGCUGAGGUCAAGGAACGAGUGACACUGAAACCACGCUGUGUCCUCACUUCCCAGGUGGUCGUGGGCCCAAAUAUCACGCUGCCUGAGGGCUCGGUGAUCUCUUUGCACCCUCCAGAUGCAGAGGAAGAUGAAGAUGAUGGCGAGUUCAGUGAUGAUUCUGGGGCUGACCAAGAAAAGGACAAAGUGAAGAUGAAAGGUUACAAUCCAGCAGAAGUAGGAGCUGCUGGCAAGGGCUACCUCUGGAAAGCUGCAGGCAUGAACAUGGAGGAAGAGGAGGAACUGCAGCAGAAUCUGUGGGGACUCAAGAUCAACAUGGAAGAAGAGAGUGAAAGUGAAAGUGAGCAAAGUAUGGAUUCUGAGGAGCCGGACAGCCGGGGAGGCUCCCCUCAGAUGGAUGACAUCAAAGUGUUCCAGAAUGAAGUUUUAGGAACACUACAGCGGGGCAAAGAGGAGAACAUUUCUUGUGACAAUCUCGUCCUGGAAAUCAACUCUCUCAAGUAUGCCUAUAACAUAAGUCUAAAGGAGGUGAUGCAGGUACUGAGCCACGUGGUCCUGGAGUUCCCCCUGCAACAGAUGGAUUCCCCGCUUGACUCAAGCCGCUACUGUGCCCUGCUGCUUCCUCUGCUAAAGGCCUGGAGCCCUGUUUUUAGGAACUACAUAAAGCGCGCAGCCGACCAUUUGGAAGCGUUAGCAGCCAUUGAGGACUUCUUCUUAGAGCAUGAAGCUCUUGGUAUUUCCAUGGCCAAGGUACUGAUGGCUUUCUACCAGCUGGAGAUCCUGGCUGAGGAAACAAUUCUGAGCUGGUUCAGCCAAAGAGAUACAACUGACAAGGGCCGGCAGUUGCGCAAGAAUCAACAGCUGCAGAGGUUCAUCCAGUGGCUAAAAGAGGCAGAAGAGGAGUCAUCUGAAGAUGACUGAAGUCACACUGCCUGCUCCUUUGGGUGUGACUGAGUGCCCUCCUGGCUCCUGGGCUGGGACAAGUGAGGAACUAGCUGCAGAGGGAUGAGUGACCACCAUCCAGGCUGAGACUGAAAGGAGCAGAGGCUGGAACUACAGUAUUCUUUCCCCUGCUAGCAACCAUGUGCCUCCCAUCCUGACGGUGGAGUUGGGAUGUGGAAGUGGGGCUGGAACAAAGCUUCUGCCUAGGGAGGAGCUAAGCAGGCCCGGCAGUUGGAGGAAGGCCAGAGGAACAGCUUUGUGCUCCGGCUUUCCCUCAGGGAACAGCAGAGAGCAGUUGGCUCUUUCUGCUGCUUGUAUAUGUUAAUAUUAAAAGAGAGAGUGGUGUA
rnacentral:sRNA from 1 species